AGCGUUAAUCGGAAUUACUGGGCGUAAAGCGUGCGCAGGCGGUGAUGUAAGACAGUUGUGAAAUCCCCGGGCUCAACCUGGGAACUGCAUCUGUGACUGCAUCGCUGGAGUGCGGCAGAGGGGGAUGGAAUUCCGCGUGUAGCAGUGAAAUGCGUAGAUAUGCGGAGGAACACCGAUGGCGAAGGCAAUCCCCUGGGCCUGCACUGACGCUCAUGCACGAAAGCGUGGGGAGCAAACAGGAUUAGAUACCCUGGUAGUCCACGCCGUAAACGAUGUCUACUAGCCGUUGGGGUCCUUGAGACUUUAGUGGCGCAGUUAACGCGAUAAGUAGACCGCCUGGGGAGUACGGCCGCAAGGUUAAAACUCAAAUGAAUUGACGGGGGCCCGCACAAGCGGUGGAGCAUGUGGUUUAAUUCGAUGCAACGCGAAGAACCUUACCAAGGCUUGACAUGUUCUCGAUCGCCGUAGAGAUACGGUUUCCCCUUUGGGGCGGGUUCACAGGUGGUGCAUGGUUGUCGUCAGCUCGUGUCGUGAGAUGUUGGGUUAAGUCCCGCAACGAGCGCAACCCUCGUUUUUAGUUGCUAGAAAUCUAAAAAGACUAUCGGUUAUAAACCGGAGGAAGGUGAGGAUGACGUCAAGUCAGCAUGCCCCUUAUAUCCUGGGCUACACACGUGCUACAUUGGGCGAGACAAUGAGAUGCAAACCUGCGAAGGCUAGCUAAUCUAUAAACUCGUUCUAAGUUCGGAUUGUAGGCUGCAACUCGCCUGCAUGAAGGUGGAAUCGCUAGUAAUCGCUGGUCAGCUAUACAGCGGUGAAUUCGUUCCCGGGCCUUGUACACACC
rnacentral:rRNA from 1 species